rnacentral:rRNA from 1 species
CAGUAGACGCUGAGGAGGAACUUGCUUCUCUGGAUGAGUUGCGAGCGGGUGAGUGACGCGUGGGUGACCUGCCUGGUGGCGGGGGAGAACUAUUGGAAAAAAUAGCUAAUACCGCAUAAUAGUAUAUGUUGCAUGACAUUUACUUAAAAGGUGCAAUUGCGUCACUACCAGAUGGACCUGCGUUGUAUUAGCUAGUUGGGGGGGGGACGGCUCACCAAGGCGACAAUACAUAGCCGACCUGAGAGGGUGAUCGGCCACACAGUGACAGAGACACGGCCCACACUCCUACGGGAGGCAGCAGUAGGGAAUCUUCGGCAAUGGACGAAAGACUGACCGAGCAACGCCGCGUGAGUGAAGAAGGUUUUCGGAUCGUAAAGCUCUGUUGUGAGAGAAGAACGAGUGUGAGAGUGGAAAGUUCACACUGUGACGGUAUCUUACCAGAAAGGGACGGCUAACUACGUGCCAGCAGCCGCGGUAAUACGUAGGUCCCGAGCGUUGUCCGGAUUUAUUGGGCGUAAAGCGAGCGCAGGCGGUUAGAUAAGUCUGAAAUUAAAGGCUGUGGCUUAACCAUAGUACGCUUUGGAAACUGUUUAACUUGAGUGCAAGAGGGGAGAGAGGAAUUCCAUGUGUAGCGGUGAAAUGCGUAGAUAUAUGGAGGAACACCGGUGGCGAAAGCGGCUCUCUGGCUUGUAACUGACGCUGAGGCUCGAAAGCGUGGGGAGCAAACAGGAUUAGAUACCCUGGUAGUCCACGCCGUAAACGAUGAGUGCUAGGUGUUAGACC